AUUGAACGCUGGCGGCAUGCCUUACACAUGCAAGUCGAACGGCAGCACGGGAGCAAUCCUGGUGGCGAGUGGCGAACGGGUGAGUAAUAUAUCGGAACGUGCCCAGUCGUGGGGGAUAACGCAGCGAAAGCUGUGCUAAUACCGCAUACGAUCUACGGAUGAAAGCGGGGGAUCGCAAGACCUAGCGCGAUUGGAGCGGCCGAUAUCAGAUUAGCUAGUUGGUGGGGUAAAGGCCCACCAAGGCGACGCACUGUAGCUGGGCUGAGAGGACGACCAGCCACCCUGGAACGGAGACACGGUCCAGACUCCUACGGGAGGCAGCAGUGGGGAAGUUUGUACAAUGGGCGCAAGCCGGAUCCAGCAAUGCCGCGUGCAGGAUGAAGGCCUUCGGGUUGUAAACUGCUUUUGUACGGAACGAAACGGCCCUUUCUAAUACAGGGGGCUAAUGACGGUACCGUAAGAAUAAGCACCGGCUAACUACGUGCCAGCCGCCGCGGUAA
rnacentral:rRNA from 1 species